GAAAACCUCUCACCUUCCUCUUAGAUUCAAGAGUUUCAACUCUCUCCACAAGGCUUUUCAAAUCAAUGAGGACUACUUCAAUUUGUGCUUGAGUUUGAAGUUUAUUGUCAAACGAGCGGGGACAUUCACUUAUUGCUAUCCCAAAGAAUGUUCCAGAACUGCAGGUGAGGAAAUAUCAACCAUGUGGACAAGACCUCAACCACACGUGGCUUGAAUGUUGCUGGAUUGUUACUUGUUUUUGUUUCUCUAUUCUAUUUUAAGACAGUUGUUUCAGAAUCAUAUGGUUUGUGGCUUGCGGCCAAACCAGAAACUAUAUUUAAUAUGUUUGUUGGCCAGCGGCCAUAACAAACCUCUACCUUAUUUUGAUAGCAUUCACUGAACUAAUAUGUAUAUAUAUGUGUGUGAUUCCGAGACAGUAAACAAUAGAUAAUAUAUAGA